rnacentral:misc_RNA from 1 species
AACGCGUGCAGCUGUGUCCG